AGUUGCAUUCUCGGACAGCUCACGAGUGAUAAAGCUGACAUUUCCAGUUCCAUCUGUCUGACUUCUAUUUAUCUCGGUUCAGUUCAGAACUCAAGAGGGUAUAAUUUUGUUUUUGAGGCAAAAAGAGCUACCUAAUUCUCAAGGACAUGGUUAGUUUGAAAGUCCGGGUGAGGCCCCCACAAGGACCCAUUGACUUCUGAAGUGGAAAGAUAUGAAAUUUUCUUGAAGAUGCCAAUCAACUCCAAGCAUGGGCUAUUGUAUUCUUCUCUCUUGACAGACUGGCUUUCUUUGUUAUGAGCACCUGUGGCGGGAAGAAAAUGAUCACUGAUGGUGCUCAAGUGCAUAUGUUACAAUGCCAGUUGCAAAGAGAGACUACAUCUCUUGUUUCUGGGAAAUGGAUCCUGAGUGGCCCAUCUUUGGUCAGGUGUUCGUUUCUUCUUCCAACAAAUAAGGAUGGUAGUAAAAUAAUAGAAACAUUGUUGCUGCUGGGACCCCAACACAGCGGAUUGAGAACUUAUAAAAAACAAGAGAUAAUGAUCAGAGUGGCCAUCCUUACUGACUCCUCUGUGAAUGGAAAUUUCUCUGAAGUGUUGCAUUAAGCAAGAAUAGAUGGAAUCUAACAUAGCAGUUCAUAAAAUUCACAAAAUGAAAUAAAAUAUUCUGGAAACUGUCUUCCAUGAAGCCUUGAAAGAAUUCAUGCAUAAGAAUAUCUUGCAUCAAAGCCUUUAUGUGAAGCAAUCUUUUAAUAUUUAAAAAAA
rnacentral:lncRNA from 1 species